ACCGGAGUUCCGUAAAGUCAAGGCUUUCGGAAGCGUGUCUUGUAAAUUCAGUAACCCACCGGCGACGUAAAAACGCUCGCAGCGGAUCCCGAUGAGGUCGCGUUGCGUUGUCGUCGGUUAUGAAAAACCAAUCUGCGGCGGGGUUUCGCCCCAUUGAGGGAAUCCUCCGCCACAUUUAGCAAGCGGUUACUUUCUUU
rnacentral:ncRNA from 1 species